CCCUCGCCGCCGCCUCUCUUCCGCACUCAUCUGCAGCAGGCACGGGCCUAGCCCUCCUCUAUCGACCUUCCAUCCAUCAACCUCGCCGUCAACUACUCCUUCAUCUUCUGAUUCGCCUAGAUCGGCUCCCACCCACGAUACAAGCGGUGUCCAUUGAGGUCAAGAUGUGGAGCUCAGAGAUGGUCGCACAAUAGUGAGGUGACAUUGUCAAGGUAACUAUCAGCGUAUAUCCAACGCUGGGGCUCCUCCUCGACUGUAGCCAAAGAGAUACAAUAAUAUCUGGUGCCUGAAUGUAGAAGAAAGUAGCUUGACUGGAGUAAAUGUUUCAGUUCUUGUGUUUGUCGUGUGAUCUCCAUUUUUCCAUCUAUGGAGCUAACUGAAUAAUGGGGAAAGGUGAUUUCAAACAACACCCCAGUUUGAGAAUUCCAUUGGAUCAGAGUUUAUUUCACUAUAACCUUGGAUAUGAGCUUAUUUUCUGGAUUUGUUCUUUGCAGUGACUUUACCUAUGGUUUUCUUGAAUGUGUUUAGAAAGGAGCAGAGGAACCGAUCACUCAUGUUGCUGGCAAGAUAGUUGUUUCAUCGUCAGAAUCAGGGAGAAUCUGGUAGGAUGGUGUUGUUGACUGGUGGCUCCUUUAGAAGAUGGUUCAAUAUGGAAGGGCAUGUUGAUCUCUCAAUGAUUUUGUUAUUCACUGAGUACUGAAUGCAUGGGGAUUGCACCUUUGCAUGGACACUUCGUUGUUCUGCUGUCACCGGUAUGGCCUACAUUUGCAUGGUUCGAUAGAGCUAUCAUGGUCGGUUCGGGGCUUUGGCAGCAAUCGUGUUGGCCGGGAUCACAUGGCGCUUGCUAUCCUCGAGGCAGUGAGAUUCUUCUAAGUGAGUUUCAGCUUCCAUACAAAGCAUUGCCAAACUCAGAAUUUGAGGUAUUGGCUAUGAACACUAAUAGAGAAAUUGAGCAAUUGACUUCUGCUCUACAGUGUCAAAGUACUGAAAUUAUUGUUUUCGUGGUCUACAAAGUGAUGAAAGAAAGCUUCCAUAAUCCAUUGAAAUUCUUGUUUUAAAGGUUUAGAUUAUGAAAGACACUUAACUAGGUACACAAGUACAGAACGACAGGAGUUACACCAUGAUAGAAUGGCUAAUGGCUAAUUCUGCCAAGAACUUCCAAUCUUCAAAUAAGCCAGACAAUGAGAAGAAAUACUGGAGCACAUUGGUUGCUUCUCUAGCAAAAGGAAAUUCACCCAAGACCAUAAAUAAUAUCGUUCCAAAACAAUUGAUCUUGAACAUGGAGUGAACCGGUUAGGCAGCAUCCUUUUUCGCAAAGGCCAUUGCGCUCAAGGCAGCAGGGAGGCUUUUCAAAUCUAGAUGUCCCUUUAUAUAGAAUUCUGUAAAGCAUUGAAGUUCUUUGAAAUCAUCCUUGUAUAAGGAUUCAGCGAUGGGCACCCCUCAAAUUUGUGAUGCAAGGGAUUCAGGUAAUUUAUUCCUUAGCUCUUCAGAGGCUUGGAUGUCAUCAGGUGUACAAGCUUCUUGUUUUUUCUGUUUAAAUGAGAUUUUCUUUUGCAAAUUGCGGGCUACCUCAAUAUUGUGUUACUUACUCUAUGUGCGUGAAGAUAAAUGAAAGAAUACUUCUCCUGUUUCUAUUGUUUAUCUAGAUGACUUCACAUAAGUUGAUGAUAGCACUAUUAUACUCCAGUAUGGAACUAUACUUGCAAGCUGCAACCAUAAAUGGCUUGAUGAUUGUGGCUAAUAUAACUAUAGCUGCCUUCAUAUUCAGCUUGUAACUGUUUUAGUCCAUCCAAUUUAACACAUUUUUUCCCUAUAACUAGCUGAAUUCCCGUCUGGUGCAGCUAUGGUUAGAAAAAACUCAAUCUGGUGGAAACGCCACAAAAGCCCAAUGAUAUGAAUAGCUUGCAAAUUGAAGAACUAUAUACACAAUCAUAUUUAUUACAUAUUAAAGCCCCAAAACAAGAUGGUAGAUAUCACGGAGAGGUGGUACUACUUAUCAGAAAGUUACUUUGGGUGGAGGGGAGGUGAAAUAGCACACGUACCAUCUAGCUCCUAUAUUCAUAGGAGUGUAACUAUAAUAUUCUUAUGUGCCGAAUUUUGGGUCCAACAUAGAGCUAUAACCAUGCUAGGUUUGGGCUAAGUCAACCUUCAGCGGAAAUUACUUAUUUGCUUUGAGUUGGUGUAGAGUUUGUUUAGCCAUAGUUUCUGAUUGGCCCUCUGCUGCAGACUUAGCUUUUUGAACUUUGUGCUGAACUAAAAGUCAGAGAGAGACGAGACUACAAAUGUAUGUAUACAGUUUCCCUUUCCAACAUAUUUUAGCACUAACUAUGGCAAUGUAUACUUACCUUGUUCACCAGUACAAUCAAUUAGAAUAAGCGUCGAUAUUGCAACAAUAUAUCAGUGUAUCUCGUCUGCUUGCAGUUUCAGUAGUAGUUUUGUUAACAGUUUUGCCAUCCUGUACACCUUGAAGGAACAAUCAGUACUGAUCCCCUGAAUUUGUCUCGUCAUGCCAAUCAAACAUACUGGCGAAAUCUGGUAAUUCUUCAAUUCUUGCAGUUCAGCAUUGAAGAUUUGACUGAUAAUUGUCGGUUUGUUGCCCUGAACCCAGCUACUUUGGUUGGGUGUGAUCUGGCCGUUCUGCUUGCCAGUAUAAGUGUGUCUAUUUUCCCCGUUGUAGAUUUUAUCCUUUUUGUUACUAUUUUCAAGGUAUGAUGGAAAAUGCUGCAAAAAUGUUUGUUAUACAUCCCGGUUUUCCUUGUGCUCCAUAAUUUCAUUGUACAUAUAUAUGUUCAAGAGAUGAUUUUUU